rnacentral:rRNA from 1 species
UUAGUUUUUUUUUUUAAUUUUUUAGUAUUGCAUACUAGUAGAAUUUUUUUUUAUUAAUUUUAUAAAUAAUAGAGUGAAAUUGUUAAGUAUGGUUUUUUUUAGUUUUUACUAAAUUAAUGUAUAGUCAUAUUUGUGUUGAUAAAUCGUAUUUUUUUUUCUGUUUUUUUUUUAUUGUUGUAAAAUUAUAUUAUUUUUUUUUUAUUUUUUUUAAAUAGUUUUUAUUGUUUUUGAAAGGUUGUGUUUUUGACAUUUAUUUUAAUUUUUUUAUUUUUUAUUUUUAUUACAAUUAAUUUUUUAAUUGUUUUUUAUUUUUUAUUUUAGUAGAUUUUUUGUUUAUUUUGUUUAUAUUUUUUAUUUUUAAUUAAUAACUACAUAUUUUACUAAAUGUUUAUUAAAAACUUAGAUUUUUUUUUAAAGUUUUCUUCUGCUCUAUGACUAGGUUUAAUGGCGGCCAUAGCGUGACGGCAUAAAAGUAGCGUAGGUGAUUUGUUUUUUUAUUGUUUUCGGGUAUGAAUGGGGUCUUAGUAAUUUUUUUUUUCUUAUUUAAAUUGAAUUAUUUUUUAAAUUAAAAAUUAUUUAUUUAAUUAUUUCAAAGAUAAGUCUUCGGAAACUUUAUUAUAUUUUUAAUUUUUUUAAGGAUUUAAUUUUUCUUGGGGCUGGAUUUUAUAAAAAGUUUAAACUAUUGUUAUAUUUAAAAGUUACUUCGGAGUUAACAGGGUUGUGGAUAUAUAAAAAGGAUUGUAUUUUAUUAUACCAGACUACAUCGAUGUUGUAUAUUUAUUGUGUAAAAAAAGAGAAUGUUUUUUUUUUUAGACUGUUCUUCUUUAAUUUAAUAAAACUUGAUAUUAGUUUAGUUCGUCGUAAGACAGAGCGGUUUAUCUUGUAUAAUUUUGUUGUUUAUUAAGAAUAGUACGAAAGGAAAAUUUUGAAAGGAAAUUAUUUGUUUUUAAUUUGUAAAAAAUUUU